AUUGAACGCUGGCGGAAUGCUUUACACAUGCAAGUCGAACGGCAGCACGGGGCAACCUGGUGGCGAGUGGCGAACGGGUGAGUAAUACAUCGGAACGUGCCCAAUCGUGGGGGAUAACGUAGCGAAAGUUACGCUAAUACCGCAUACGAUCUACGGAUGAAAGCGGGGGAUCGCAAGACCUCGCGCGAAUGGAGCGGCCGAUGUCAGAUUAGGUAGUUGGUGGGGUAAAGGCUCACCAAGCCGACGAUCUGUAGCUGGUCUGAGAGGACGACCAGUCACACUGGGACUGAGACACGGCCCAGACUCCUACGGGAGGCAGCAGUGGGGAAUUUUGGACAAUGGGCGCAAGCCUGAUCCAGCCAUUCCGCGUGCAGGAUGAAGGCCUUCGGGUUGUAAACUGCUUUUGUACGGAGCGAAAAGGCUCUCUCUAAUACAGGGGGCUCAUGACGGUACCGUAAGAAUAAGCACCGGCUAACUACGUGCCAGCCGCCGCGGUAACAC
rnacentral:rRNA from 1 species